GACGAACGCUGGCGGCGUGCCUAAUACAUGCAAGUUGAGCGCUGAAGGUUGGUACUUGUACCAACUGGAUGAGCAGCGAACGGGUGAGUAACGCGUGGGGAAUCUGCCUUUGAGCGGGGGACAACAUUUGGAAACGAAUGCUAAUACCGCAUAAAAACUUUAAACACAAGUUUUAAGUUUGAAAGAUGCAGUUGCAUCACUCAAAGAUGAUCCCGCGUUGUAUUAGCUAGUUGGUGAGGUAAAGGCUCACCAAGGCGAUGAUACAUAGCCGACCUGAGAGGGUGAUCGGCCACAUUGGGACUGAGACACGGCCCAAACUCCUACGGGAGGCAGCAGUAGGGAAUCUUCGGCAAUGGACGAAAGUCUGACCAAGCAACGCCGCGUGAGUGAAGAAGGUUUUCGGAUCGUAAAACUCUGUUGGUAGAGAAGAACGUUGGUGAGAGUGGAAAGCUCAUCAAGUGACGGUAACUACCCAGAAAGGGACGGCUAACUACGUG
rnacentral:rRNA from 1 species